rnacentral:rRNA from 1 species
GAUGAACGCUGGCGGCGUGCCUAAUACAUGCAGGUCGAGCGAACAGACGAGGAGCUUGCUCCUCUGACGUUAGCGGCGGACGGGUGAGUAACACGUGGAUAACCUACCUAUAAGACUGGGAUAACUUCGGGAAACCGGAGCUAAUACCGGAUAAUAUAUUGAACCGCAUGGUUCAAUAGUGAAAGACGGUUUUGCUGUCACUUAUAGAUGGAUCCGCGCCGCAUUAGCUAGUUGGUAAGGUAACGGCUUACCAAGGCAACGAUGCGUAGCCGACCUGAGAGGGUGAUCGGCCACACUGGAACUGAGACACGGUCCAGACUCCUACGGGAGGCAGCAGUAGGGAAUCUUCCGCAAUGGGCGAAAGCCUGACGGAGCAACGCCGCGUGAGUGAUGAAGGUCUUCGGAUCGUAAAACUCUGUUAUUAGGGAAGAACAAAUGUGUAAGUAACUAUGCACGUCUUGACGGUACCUAAUCAGAAAGCCACGGCUAACUACG